ensembl:lncRNA novel transcript, antisense to CBLN1
UUCCUGGAAAGUGAAAAUUUCAUUUCUUUGUGGACAGGUACCUAAAAUGUCUCAUUAUUCAUCAAUUAAUGAAAAACAAAUGAAAAUUUGAGAGAGAUAUUCUGAAGAAUAAAAGGAUCAAGUUGGGUCAUUUCUAAAAUCUCAGAGACCUAAUAGGAUGGGGUCUUAGAGAAACAUCUUUUGAGCCACAGACUUCUUUGUUACCAGAAGGAAAAUGAAAGAAGAAAUUUAAAUACCACUUGAAGAGAGAGAGUGUGAAGAAAUGACCCUGAAAAGCCUCUGGCAGAGGAUUCUUCUUUCAGGAUGGUGUCGCCUCCUCAGCAGCCCAUCCUCCUCCCCUGGACUCAAGCUCUCAUUCCAGUAACACUCCUUCCUCCUUCUCCAUCUUCAGGGGGAGGUUUGCCAGUCGGUGGGUUCUAAGCAUAUCUCGCUGAUUCCCCCCAACCCUGCCGACACCUCUGUAGGUCGUCCCUUCAUUAAAAUCUCUCCAUUUGAACUAUCUGAGUUUAAUUCCAUUUCCUCCUGGUAUCUCAGUGAUACACGGUAUCAGUACAAAAAUCUCGCUUCACCUUCAGAACCAACAGAUUUGAGACAUUUUAUCCUCUGUGGAACCAUUAGUUAUUUUGUCAUUGGUUGUAUCAGAAAAAAAAAUCAGGAAUGCAAAUCCUUCUUUAUUACAGAUUCAGAUUUGCAUAUUACCAAUGUUAUAUAUUUUAAACAAAACUAUUCAUCAUAAGUUUUAAAAAUUAACUACUGGAGUAGUUAAUGAAUCUGAAUGUAAUUAUGUAGCUUUCAUAAUAUUAAAGUAAAAAUACUAAAAGAAGUAUUUCUUAAAGAAGCAAAUGCUCAAUCUCCAAGUAAAUUUUAUUCUAUGCUCUUCCGGUAUAAGAAUAUGUUAAUAUCUUGAAAAAUAUCAUAUUAUUUUGUGAACUCAUAAAGCUAUUUUGAGUUUUUGUAAAAUGAAAACCUUACCAAAAUGUAUUUUAUUGUUGGAAAGCUUGACCGUUACUGCUGUUUAAUUUUUUGAGCUUGUAAACUUUAUUUGUGCAUGUUUUCAACAAAGAAGGAUUUUAUUGUUAUUACAUAAAACAGGUGAUUUCUAGAUUUUAAAAUCACAAAUUGAAAGCAAGGCACAAUAAUAUAUAUUUCAAGAUAUAGGUACUUAGGAGGCAUCCUUUUAGUCAUCUGUUCAAUGUAGCCAUCUAUUUUACACCUACUGUCUACUAUUGUUUGAGGUCCUUGCCAAAGUAUUGCAGGCUAGUUAGGAAACAUAAAACAAUUAGAAAGUAAUCUAUGACAAGUAAGCUAUCUAUAAAUGGCAAUGAAGGGUAGAACAAAUUCAAUGAAAAUAUCUAUUUAAUCCUAGUGUUUACUGGUCUAGAAGAAUAGGCUGAGUAAAUUAGUAUUUCUCUGGCUGUUGUGGUAACACAUUGCAUGCUAUAACAGUUUUAAGUAAUUACAGGUGCAUUGAAAUUUAUCUAUGGCUUUGUCAUCAUAUUCUAAAAUGUCAUGAGUACUUUUUUCUGACCUCAAUUACUAUGAAAUUGGUUUCCAAUAUUUAAUUAACCAAGAAUAUCAAGUCUAUAGGGUAUUAUUAAGGUGAGACUUCUGUAGCCUUUUCAAUAAAGACCAGAAUUUUGGAGUGCCUUGAACCUUAAUCAUUGAUCUUUAAUUCUUAUUAAGUCAACUGCCCACCUUUUAAAGACUGAGGCCCAGGAAGAGUAAGUUUCUCUGAGACAAUGCAUACAGUACAGUGCUUCUUGGGUAUUGGCUCUAAGACCAGAUGCAAAGAAAGGCUAAAAUCCCAUUUCAUUGUUCAUUAGGUGAGAACCCUUUGUUAAGCUGUGUAACCUCUGUGCAUAGUUUCCUCAUCAGCAAAGUCAGAAAAAGUAUGUACCUGAAGGACUGAUUGUAAGGCUGGGAUGAGAGAAUCCAUGUGAUCAGCCCUCACCAACAGGUGCUGCCCAGUUCAUGAGUGCUGCUGCUGUCCUGCCCAAGUACCCAGCUUGCAGAGUGCCAGAGUUAGAGUCCCAGGGGUGUUCUCCACAGCUGCAUGCUUGAUCCAGGCCUAUCAGAUAUAUUCCAUUGAAAGUCCUCAUUCUCAAAUUUAAAACAAAGACUUUUUGUGUACCUCAAUAGCAAUGCACACACAGUUGGCUUCACAAACAUAUUGUACAUUUCUUUUUUUCAUAUUUAUUCAACAAAUGUAUAUUGACUACCCACCGUGUGACAGGUGUUAUUUGUUGACGGAACCAGGCAUCAUCAGCAAACAAAACUGACAAAGCUUCCUGCCCUCUGUGGAAGGCAUCUGAGGAAGAGACUGGAUUUUGUAGCAACAUGUUAUUCUCAUUAUAAACUUUAUCAUUGGAAUACUAAAGCCAAAUCAUCCCCCAUCUCCUUGAUCAGGAUACCCACUUAAUCUAGGCAGCUACACAAUUGUGAGAGCCUUUGUUUUUUUCUGCUGAAACAUCCUUAAAAAGAUACCUCACAACCCAAGAUUUGGCUUUUCUUAAAUACGAUUUUUAAUUUUUUUCAUUUCUAUCUAGAGAUUUAAUUGGAAAUGGAAAAUCAUCAAUUUUCCAAUUAAAUGUCUGUUCCAAUCAACAUUAUACCUUUUAGGUUGUCAUUGUCAUUUUUAAGUUUAAGCAACUUUAAGGAUUUUGAAUCUGGCUGCCUGUAAAUUAAAGGUGAAAGUAAUCAUUGUGUUGGAUUGGAACAUUUUGUCAAUUGAGAGUGGUUUCCUUGUUCUUAGUGUAUGAAAAGUUUAUUUUUCUAAUGUAGAUUAAUAAAGGAGAUAAAGAAAAACAAAAUGAGU